AACGAACGCUGGCGGCAGGCCUAACACAUGCAAGUCGAGCGAGGACUUCGGUCCUAGCGGCGGACGGGUGAGUAACGCGUGGGAACGUGCCCUUUGCUUCGGAAUAGCCCUGGGAAACUGGGAGUAAUACCGGAUGAGCCCUUUUGGGGAAAGAUUUAUCGGCGAAGGAUCGGCCCGCGUUGGAUUAGGUAGUUGGUGGGGUAAUGGCCUACCAAGCCGACGAUCCAUAGCUGGUUUGAGAGGAUGAUCAGCCACACUGGGACUGAGACACGGCCCAGACUCCUACGGGAGGCAGCAGUGGGGAAUCUUAGACAAUGGGGGAAACCCUGAUCUAGCCAGGCCGCGUGAGCGAUGAAGGCCUUAGGGUUGUAAAGCUCUUUCAGCUGGGAAGAUAAUGACGGUACCAGCAGAAGAAGCCCCGGCUAACUCCGUG
rnacentral:rRNA from 1 species